rfam:Myotis davidii contig215523, whole genome shotgun sequence.
GGCAGUUCUCUGGUGACGCACGCUGUAAUCGGGCUCCCUCCUCUCUGGUUCCAGGGUGCAUCACCAGAGAACCACU